GAAUGGACACAGCUCUUUUAGAAUUUUUCUGGCUUUCUGAUUUUGAUUAGAAAACUCAA
ensembl:snRNA U7 U7 small nuclear RNA